rnacentral:misc_RNA from 1 species
CCGAGUGCGGGCCCUCUGGGUCCAACCUCCCACCCGUGUUUAUUUACCUUGUUGCUUCGGCGGGCCCGCCAUUCUGGCCGCCGGGGGGCUUUGCCCCCGGGCCCGCGCCCGCCGAAGACACCCCUGAACUCUGUCUGAAGAUUGUAGUCUGAGUGGAAUGAUAAAUUAGUUA